GACGAACGCUGGCGGCGUGCUUAACACAUGCAAGUCGAGCGGUAAGGCCCUUUCGGGGGUACACGAGCGGCGAACGGGUGAGUAACACGUGGGUGACCUGCCCUCAGCUCUGGGAUAAGCCCGGGAAACUGGGUCUAAUACCGGAUAUGACUCCAUGACGCAUGUUGUGGGGUGGAAAGCCUUGUGCGGCUGAGGAUGGGCCCGCGGCCUAUCAGCUUGUUGGUGGGGUGAUGGCCUACCAAGGCGACGACGGGUAGCCGGCCUGAGAGGGCGACCGGCCACACUGGGACUGAGAUACGGCCCAGACUCCUACGGGAGGCAGCAGUGGGGAAUCUUGCGCAAUGGGCGAAAGCCUGACGCAGCGACGCCGCGUGAGGGAUGACGGCCU
rnacentral:rRNA from 1 species